GGUAGCGAAAUUCCUUGUCGGGUAAGUUCCGACCUGCACGAAUGGCGUAACGACUUCCCCGCUGUCUCCAACAUAGACUCAGCGAAAUUGAAUUACCUGUCAAGAUGCAGGUUUCCCGCGGUUAGACGGAAAGACCCCGUGCACCUUUACUACAACUUCACACUGGCAUUAGGCCGAAUAUGUGCAGGAUAGGUGGUGGGCUUUGAAGCGUGGACGCCAGUCUGCGUGGAGCCUCCCUUGAGAUACCACCCUUAUUCUGCUUGAUGUCUAACCGCGGUCCGUUAUCCGGAUCCGGGACCCUGUGUGGUGGGUAGUUUGACUGGGGCGGUCUCCUCCCAAAGCGUAACGGAGGAGCACGAAGGUUGGCUAAUCCUGGUCGGACAUCAGGAGGUUAGUGCAAUGGCAUAAGCCAGCUUAACUGCGAGACAGACACGUCGAGCAGGUACGAAAGUAGGUCAUAGUGAUCCGGUGGUUCUGAAUGGAAGGGCCAUCGCUCAACGGAUAAAAGGUACUCCGGGGAUAACAGGCUGAUACCGCCCAAGAGUUCAUAUCGACGGCGGUGUUUGGCACCUCGAUGUCGGCUCAUCACAUCCUGGGGCUGAAGUCGGUCCCAAGGGUAUGGCUGUUCGCCAUUUAAAGUGGUACGCGAGCUGGGUUUAGAACGUCGUGAGACAGUUCGGUCCCUAUCUUCCGUGGGUGUAGGAUACUUGAGAGGAGUUGCCCCUAGUACGAGAGGACCGGGGUGAACGAUCCACUGGUGGACCAGUUGUUAUGCCAAUAGCAGUGCUGGGUAGCUAUGAUCGGACAGGAUAACCGCUGAAGGCAUCUAAGCGGGAAGCCCCCCUCAAAACAAGGUAUCCCUGAGAGCCGAGGUAGACCACCUCGUCGAUAGGCCAGAGAUGUAAGCGUGGUAACACGUUCAGUUGACUGGUAC
rnacentral:rRNA from 1 species